CCGACGGUGAGGGGUGAAAGCUGGGGGAGCAAACCGGAUUAGAUACCCGGGUAGUCCCAGCCGUAAACGAUGUGCGUUAGGUGUAUCGGUGACCACGAGUCACCGAGGUGCCGAAGAGAAAUCGUGAAACGUACCGCCUGGGAAGUACGGUCGCAAGGCUGAAACUUAAAGGAAUUGGCGGGGGAGCACCACAACAGGUGGAGCCUGCGGUUUAAUCGGACUCAACGCCGGAAAACUCACCAGAUAA
rnacentral:rRNA from 1 species